rnacentral:SRP_RNA from 1 species
GCCGGGCGUGGUGGCGCACGCCUGUAAUCUCAGCUACUUAGGAGGCUGAGGCAGGAGAAUCACUUGAACCCGGGAGGCAGAGGUUGCAGUGAGCCGAGAUUGCACCACUGCACUCCAGCCUGGGCGACAGAGUGAGACCCUGUCUCCA